rnacentral:rRNA from 1 species
GACGAACGCUGGCGGCGUGCUUAACACAUGCAAGUCGAACGGAAAGGCCCUGCUUUUGUGGGGUGCUCGAGUGGCGAACGGGUGAGUAACACGUGAGUAACCUGCCCUUGACUUUGGGAUAACUUCAGGAAACUGGGGCUAAUACCGGAUAGGAGCUCCUGCUGCAUGGUGGGGGUUGGAAAGUUUCGGCGGUUGGGGAUGGACUCGCGGCUUAUCAGCUUGUUGGUGGGGUAGUGGCUUACCAAGGCUUUGACGGGUAGCCGGCCUGAGAGGGUGACCGGCGACAUUGGGACUGAGAGACGGACCAGACUCCUACGGGAGGCAGCAGGGGGGAAUAUGGCACAAUGGGCGGAAGCCUGAGGCAGCAACGCCGCGUGCGGGAUGACGGCUUACGGGUUGUAAACCGAUGUCGCCUGUGACGAAGCGGGAGUGACGGUAAUGGGUAAAGAAGCACCGGCUAACUACGUG